rnacentral:rRNA from 1 species
UGGGUCUGCGUCUCAUUAGCUGGUUGGUGGGGUAAUGGCCUACCAAGGCGACGAUGAGUAGCUGGUCUGAGAGGAUGAUCAGCCACACUGGGACUGGAACACGGCCCAGACUCCUACGGGAGGCAGCAGUGGGGAAUAUUGGGCAAUGGGCGCAAGCCUGACCCAGCAACGCCGUGUGAGGGAAGAAGGUUUUCGGAUCGUAAACCUCUGUCAGAAGGGAAGAAGUGGCAGUUAUUUAAUAUAUAACUGCUUUGACGUACCUUCAGAGGAAGCACCGGCUAACUCCGUGCCAGCAGCCGCGGUAAUACGGAGGGUGCAAGCGUUAUUCGGAAUCACUGGGCGUAAAGCGCGCGUAGGUUGCGUGGUAAGUCAGAUGUGAAAGCCCCCGGCUCAACCGGGGAACUGCAUUUGAAACUGCCAUGCUUGAGUACGACAGAGGGUGGCGGAAUUCCCGGUGUAGAGUGAAAUCCGUAGAUAUCGGGAGGAACACCAGUGGCGAAGGCGGCCACCUGGUCGAUACUGACGCUGAGGUGCGAAAGCGUGGGUAGCAAACAGGAUUAGAACCCUGGUAGUCC